rnacentral:ribozyme from 2 species
UAGGUAACUCCGCCUAUGUCAUCUAAGGUGUAACUUAAUGACACAGCCGGUCCCAAGCCCGGAAAAGGAGGAGGGAAUA